rfam:Triticum aestivum genome assembly, contig: Triticum_aestivum_CS42_TGACv1_scaffold_544065_6DS
GAUGUACACCCUUCGUCCGAAAAAGCUUGUCCCUCAAAUGGAUGUAUCUAGCACUAAGUUAGUGCUAGAUACUUUCAUUUGAGGGAUAAGCUUGGGAUAAGUUUUUUCGGACGGAGGGAGUAUAUG